CAUUGAAACAAAUUAAUCCUAUGCCGUUUAAAUUGACAUGGUAAUCCAUCAUCAGAGAAGGCAAACUCUGAAAGCAAUCUCGAAUCUGCCCUGCUCCUUCACUGGCCCUGGAGGCACAAAGACAGACAGUAAACGGGGGAUUGGGUUCGAGGGGGGCAUAGUCAUAAAAGAUAGAAAUGCCCGGAAAAGAGUAACAUUGGUUCUAUCAGCUCUUACUGUCCUGCCUCUUCAAACCUCCUUUGGAAACUUUCAACAGUUAUUUUCUCAAGUUUGCAGCUAAGUGGGGUCCCUGCUUCCUCCUCCACGCUGGCCGUUCCUGACUCACACUGGCCAUUGCCUGGUGCCUUUGAAAAGUUCAGGAACUGAGGGUACUGGAAGUUAUCCAGCUAGUUUCACAGAAACUCUUCCCAAGUGUUGGGGGCCACUUUUGGAGGUAGGUGGGGAUUAGGUUUUGUUUUGUUUCUUGUUGUUGGGUCCUGAGUGGUAAAGAAUGGAAGAGAAUCUUUCCUUUGGUGCUUUUCCUCUUAUUAUUUCACAUUUCGCAUUUGAUGAGCAAAACACUAUAGUAAUUUCUUAAAAGAAAACCUUUCUGACAUCACUAAAAAAGUGAGGAGCACCGACCUGCCCUGCUAAUUGUCACUUUUUUUUUUUUUUAAAUUUUGGAGAUAUAGUUUUCAAAGCUGCCUUCACAUCAGAAAAGCCUAUGAUGGCAUGUUGUUACAAUUUGAUCUUCAAGGCAGAAAUUGCAUAAUGCAGAACUGUACCAUAUUGGAUUUAUUUAUUUUUAGCAUGCACCUACUCAUUUUCAAGGAAGCAGCCUUUGAAGAGGACAAAUGAAGCUGAUAAUGUUAUCCCAGGCGCCCAGGCUGGGGAAGGUGGUCAUCGAUCAGACCUGGCAUGAAAAGAAAAGGAGGCGGGAGAAGAGGAGAGGACCAGAGGAGGGGAGGAGAGAGGCCUGGACUGAGAUCACCUUCACCUGCCCAGAGCCCGGCCUCCCUGUUGGAGAUCCUUCGACCUUCAACUAGGAUGAAGGGGGCGGGGCAGAAGGGAGGGGGCACUACUGAAUUACACACGUGGCCUCCUUCUAAGAGACCGAGUUCACCUCCUCUCCGGAGGAGCCCCACCAGCCAUCCACUCAUUGUAACUGAUGAGACAAACCGCAAGGAAAAACUUCUGUAGCCCAUAUUUAUGGUAUUAAUGAAUAGUUAAAAAAAGAUUUACACUUCUUAUGAUCAAUAUUCUGAGUUAUUUCCCUCAAAGUAUAUAAUUACAGUGUCUUCAGAGUUUCAUCAUUGUUUGAGGUGGCAAAACCAUUUGUAAUUUUCAUUAGCCAGUAAACAUGUAAUUAACAUUCAGCACUGUGUUUAACUUAAUUCCUGUUUAAGACAAGGACAAGAAGCAGUGAAGAGCGUUAGUUCCAUUUGUCAAGUCUGACAUACAUCUUACCAUAACAGUUUCCUAAAAUAAAAGAUCCAUGUUUCCCCAUUAUUCUCCCCUUAAAACAAACCAAAACAACAACAAAAAUCCAUUAGUUAA